ACUCACUCAUUUCUCUUAUAUAAGAUUCAUUCUUCCAAACCAACCCUUCAUCCUUCAAAAAACACAUUUCUCUAAUUUCUCCUUCACUUUCUGCUUUUCAUGGCCAACAUUAUUGUCAACCCUUCUUCUUUCCUUCUCAGGAAGCGAUGGUGUAGUGUUGUAACAGAGAGUUUCAGGAUGCAAAUGGAAGGCAAAAGAGUGAAAGGAAAAGCAAAUAAAGAAGAUAAGUUUUGGAUGAGAGAUCCAAAGAGUGGAAAUUGGAUUCCAGAGAAACACUUUGGUGAAGUUGAUGCUGCUGAGCUUAGGGAGAAGUUUCUGCCCAAACCACACACUAAAUCUACCAAUCAACUUAACUAGAAUCUCGUUCAAACAAAAACCACUUAUAUGUAAUAAAUAUAUGUUCUUGAUGGUCUCGCUUACCUCUAUAAUAAGUCAAUUUCAUCAUCAUUAAUUGUUCUCUA